rnacentral:rRNA from 1 species
AUGGUCGCCGCCUCCUCCUCCUUCCCUCGUGCUCGUGGCGCCAGAGCAGGGAGCCCUCAGCCAUCGCUGCAAAGACGCGGGGUGCAUGCUGUUGUGGCAGGAGUUGCAACCGGUGAUGAAAAUUGCUGCUACCGGCUAUGCGGAGAUGGCCGGCGGCAACUACUGGUGUUACAACCAGCAGCUGAUGGGGAGGGAGACGGCGACCUUUUGGUGAUGCAACCGAUUUUUUUGCUGGAUCCGACGAGAUUUUUUGUUGCUACCGGCGGCGGCGAUGGAUGUUUUGCUGGAACCAUUGAUCUUUUUUGCCGGGACUAG